rnacentral:lncRNA from 1 species
UUUGUUGAGCACUUACCAAGUGCUAGGCAUUAUGCUAGUUCUUUAUUUACAUUAUUUAAUCCUUACAACACAUUUCUAAGGGAGGUAUUAUUACUGGCAAAUGAAUAAAACUAAUGCUUAGAGACAUGGAGCCAAGGAACAACCCACAUCUGUCUGACUCCAAAAGGAGUACAUAAAUAGCAGAAUUCAAUUUAUAUUUUAGAAACUUAAUAAACCCUCACUCCUUAAAAGUCCAACCUACUCUUGAUUCUUCCUUUUCCAGCAAAUAAAAUUCAGGGAGAAGAAAGCAAGGCAGGUUAUACCUCAAUGUAAAUACACAUAGACUUACACAUAUACUUACACACACACACACACACACAC